GAUGAACGCUGGCGGCGUGCCUAAUACAUGCAAGUCGAGCGAACAGACGAGGAGCUUGCUCCUCUGACGUUAGCGGCGCACGGGUGAGUAACACGUGGAUAACCUACCUAUAAGACUGGGAUAACUUCGGGAAACCGGAGCUAAUACCGGAUAAUAUGUUGAACCGCAUGGUUCAAUAGUGAAAGACGGUUUUGCUGUCACUUAUAGAUGGAUCCGCGCCGCAUCAGCUAGUUGGUAAUGUAACGGCUUACCAAGGCAACGAUGCGUAGCCGACCUGAGAGGGUGAUCGGCCACACUGGAACUGAAACACGGUCCAGCCUCCUACGGGAGGCAGCAGUAGGGAAUCUUGCGCAAUGGGCGAAGGCCUGACGGAGCAACGCCGCGUGAGUGAUGAAGGUCUUCGGAUCGUAAAACUCUGUUAUUAGGGAAGAACAAAUGUGUAAGUAAAUAUGCACGUCUUGACGGUACCUAAUCAGAAAGCCACGGCUAACUACGUG
rnacentral:rRNA from 1 species